GGAGAAAAUGAAGCGUAGCAUCAGCCUGCUCCUGAGCACCCACGUCCUGGGCAAUAAGGACAGCAAUAACCAUAGCAAUGAUAACAACAACGAUGAUAACAAGGGCAACAAAGCCACCAGGUUCCAGAUGCUACCAUGAUGCCAACUGGACUUCCCUGGACAGAUGACCCCAGCAAUGUGUCCUGGAACUCUGCCUCCUCAGAGCCCUGUCCAAAUAGGUAAAGAGUGAGAAAGGCCGGGAGUAUGGAUCGACCUGUCAAUACCCAUGUUCAGCAGGGAAGCAAUUACAGAAGCCAGACCUUCCACCUUCUGCACCACAUAACGACCCUGGGUCCAUACUCCCAUGGGGUAAAGAAUAGGAAAGUGGGGGUCUGGCGGUAGUAGCACAGUGGAUUAAGCACAAUGGCGCAAGGAUCGUGGUUCCAGCCACUGGCUUCCCACGUGUAGGGGGUUGUUUCACAAGUGGUGAAGCAGGUCUGCAGGUGUCUGUCUUUCUCUCCUUCUCUCUGACUUCCCCUCCUCUCUCUUUUUCUCUCUGGCCUAUCCAACAAUGACAGCAAUAACAAAAACAAUAAUAACCACAGCAACAAUAAACAGGGCAACAAAUGUAAAAAAAAAAAAAAAAAAAAAAGGAAAGCUAUCAGGGCAGGAGAUUGGAUCCAGACUACUGGUAGUGGGAACAAUACCCCUCUUAUCCUAUGGUCUUGUCAGUGUUUCAUUUUUAUAAAUAGUAAUUUUUUUAAAAGAGAGAAAAAAAAAAGCAAAUGGGGGGUCAGGCGUAGUGCACUAUGUUAAGCACAUUUGGUGAAAAGCACAAGGACCAACAUAAGGAUCCCGGAGUUGCUUCACAGGCAGUGAAGCAGGUCCGCAGGUGUCUCUCUUUCUCUCCCCCUCUCUGUCUUC